rnacentral:sRNA from 1 species
UCCAUCGGUGUCGCCGUAGCCGUACCGGGC